GGCGGCGUGCCUAAUACAUGCAAGUCGAACGGCUUUUCUAUGGAAGCUUGCUUCCACUGAGAAGAUAGUGGCGAACGGGUGAGUAACACGUGGGUAACCUGCCCCAUAAGAGGGGGAUAACAUCCGGAAACGGGUGCUAAUACCGCAUAGUUUUCUUGAUCGCAUGAUCGGGAAAGGAAAGACGGCCUUUGUGCUGUCGCUUAUGGAUGGACCCGCGGCGUAUUAGUUAGUUGGUGAGGCAACGGCUCACCAAGACGAUGAUACGUAGCCGACCUGAGAGGGUGAUCGGCCACAUUGGGACUGAGACACGGCCCAAACUCCUACGGGAGGCAGCAGUAGGGAAUCUUCCGCAAUGGACGAAAGUCUGACGGAGCAACGCCGCGUGAGUGAAAGAAGGUUUUCGGAUCGUAAAACUCUGUUGUCAGAGAAGAACAAGUUGGAGAGUAACUGCUCCAGCCUUGACGGUAUCUGACCAGAAAGCCACGGCUAACUACGUGCCAGCCGCCGC
rnacentral:rRNA from 1 species